GAGAGUAUAGCUCAGUGGUAGAGUGUGUGCCUAGCAUGCAUGAGAUCUUGGGUUCAAUCGCCAGUACCUCCA
rnacentral:tRNA from 1 species